rnacentral:rRNA from 1 species
AAUGAACGCUGGCGGCAUGCCUAACACAUGCAAGUCGAACGAAGGCUUCGGCCUUAGUGGCGCACGGGUGCGUAACGCGUGGGAAUCUGCCCUUGGGUUCGGAAUAACAGUUAGAAAUGACUGCUAAUACCGGAUGAUGUCGUAAGACCAAAGAUUUAUCGCGCAAGGAUGAGCCCGAGUAGGAUUAGCUAGUGGGUGGGGUAAAGGCCUACCAAGGCGACGAUCCUUAGCUGGUCUGAGAGGAUGAUCAGCCACACUGGGACUGAGACACGGCCCAGACUCCUACGGGAGGCAGCAGUGGGGAAUAUAGGACAAUGGGCGGAAGCCUGAUCCAGCAAGGCCGCGUGAGUGAUGAAGGCCUUAGGGUUGUAAAGCUCUUUUACCCGGGAUGAUAAUGACAGUACCGGGAGAAUAAGCUCCGGCUAACUUCGUG